rnacentral:rRNA from 1 species
AGAGUUUGAUCCUGGCUCAGGAUGAACGCUAGCGACAGGCUUAACACAUGCAAGUCGAGGGGCAGCGGGGGAUGCGUUCGCGCAUUCUGCCGGCGACCGGCGCACGGGUGAGUAACACGUAUGCAACCUGCCCCGCCCAGGGGGAUAAUCGGCGGAAACGCCGUCUAAUACCGCGUAUAUCGGUACCGGGCAUCCGGGAUUGAAGAAAGGGCCUUAGGGUCCGGGACGGGAUGGGCAUGCGGCGCAUUAGGAAGUUGGCGGUGUAACGGACCACCAAUCCGUCGAUGCGUAGGGGUUCUGAGAGGAAGGCCCCCCACACUGGUACUGAGACACGGACCAGACUCCUACGGGAGGCAGCAGUGAGGAAUAUUGGUCAAUGGGCGGGAGCCUGAACCAGCCAAGUCGCGUGAGGGAAGAAGGUACUGAGUAUUGUAAACCUCUUUUGCCAGGGGACAAAGGCGGCCACGGGUGGCCGUAAGAGGGUACCUGGAGAAAAAGCAUCGGCUAACUCCGUGCCAGCAGCCGCGGUAAUACGGAGGAUGCGAGCGUUAUCCGGAUUUAUUGGGUUUAAAGGGUGCGCAGGCGGCGUGUCAAGUCAGCGGUAAAAUGUCGGGGCUCAACCCCGGCCGGCCGUUGAAACUGGCGUGCUCGAGUUGGAGAGAAGUAUGCGGAAUUCGUGGUGUAGCGGUGAAAUGCAUAGAUAUCACGAAGAACCCCGAUUGCGAAGGCAGCAUACCGGCUCCACACUGACGCUGAGGCACGAAAGCGUGGGUAUCGAACAGGAUUAGAUACCCUGGUAGUCCACGCAGUAAACGAUGAA